GACCGCUCGCUUGUGGAUUACACUUCACUCUAUUGACUGUUUGUUUCUCGGAUCUACUGGUUCGCUUCGUCAUUAGGCGGUACACCAGCUGUCUCUGUUUCCCACCGGCUGACUUCAUCACCCGCGGUAUACCAGUUACUUCCGGGUGGCUACAUCUGCAUCAGGAUUCUUCAGUGGAUUACUCCGUCGGUGAACUUGGAUUUACCAUCUUCCAUCUCUGCCUGUCAUCCGCCGUCAGGGCGGCGUGUUUCAUCCCUCUGUCGUGUGGGUGACAGUGCUGGUGUUCUCGACGGAGAGCGGGGGUGGCUCUCUCUCUCUCAGAUCUGUACUGGACUUUUGUAGUGCCGGCUCACUCUUCCUGCUGUGGGCGUGCUUCAUUCCCACAGUAGUGAUCCCAUCCAGAGUGAGUCGAGGGUGUAUGCCGUGUGUGGAUUACCAGUGACUUUGCUCUCCAUCUCUCUCAUUUUUCUAAAAUAACUCUGUUAACUUGCAAUUGACUCCGAAGUUUUUCCUGACAGAUAAGUUCAACAAGAAUUCUUAUGGAUUAGAGAAAAAGUUAAGGUCAACCUGUCUGGAUAAAUAUUAAGGUCUUUUUGGGAAAUUCUAAGUUGAAAGAUAUAUUUUGUAGGCCACAAUUUGGUAAUUUUUGUCAAUGUUAGUAUGUUAACGAAAACAUUAACAUAGAAAAAGGAAAGAUAGAGAUUUCAGAAUGAUACAGUACAAGAAAAUGUAAGCCAUAGACUGAAAAAUUCAAUAGGAAAUCAAGGAUAAAUCAACUACAAAAACUUUAGAUCUAUUACAUCAAAGAGGCUAGCGUAAGGUGUACAAGUGAGAAGAGAAAUGGUAUUAGAAGAAGACUAUAAUCAAAUAAUAGCAACAUAUACAAUGAAGGUAUAUGAGGAUGAUACAAUGAAGAUGUUUGGAGAAUUAUUUUGGAUUUGUAGAAAAAGAAAA